rnacentral:rRNA from 1 species
UACGAAGGGGGCUAGCGUUGUUCGGAAUUACUGGGCGUAAAGCGCGCGCAGGCGGUCUUCCAAGUCAGUGGUGAAAGCCCGGAGCUCAACUCCGGAACUGCCAUUGAACUGUGAGACUUGAGUACGAGAGAGGUGAGUGGAAUUCCAGUGUAGAGGUGAAAUUCGUAGAUAUUGGGAAGAACACCGGUGGCGAAGGCGGCUCACUGGCUCGUAACUGACGCUCAGGCGCGAAAGCGUGGGGAGCGAACAGG